UUAAUAGGAGCAAGGCACUACUGACCAGUCUCAGUGGAGAGAGAGAGAGAGUGUUGGAACACAGGGAGUGAAACAUUCAAGACUCAAAUGUCUACAAUCAGCGGAGAUGUAUUGCUGACAUCAGCAUUCAUGGCGUAUGGAGGUUACUUUGAUCAACAGUUUCGUCACAGUCUCUUCACAUCUUGGGCCACUCACCUCCAGGAGGCUAGGAUAUCUUUUAGACCUGAUCUAGCAAGAGUAUUUAUCUAAUGGAGAUGAGAGACUAAGAUGGCUUCCUAACUCCUUACCAGCUGAUGAUCUUUGGACUGAGAAUGUCAUCAUGAUCAAGAGAGUCAACAGGUAUCCAUUGAUAGUUGAUCUGUCCGGUCAAGCAACUGAAUUUAUUAUGAAUGAGUACAAAGACAAGAAGAUUACCAAAACAAGGUUCUUAAAUCCAAGAGACCAGACAUUGAUGAGAAGAGAUGCGACCUACUUAAGCUUCAAGGUGAGUUCCUCCUUCGUUUGUGUCACCUUGAGAAGAGUCUCCUCACUGCAUUGAACGAGGUCAAGGGUCGUAUCCUAGACAACAACAGAAUCAUUACUGAGCUUGAGACUCUUAAGGAAGAGGCUCCAGAAGUUCAGAGGAAGAUGGAGGAGACUGAUACUGUAAUGGCUGAAGUUGACAGAGUCUCCCAGCAA
rnacentral:misc_RNA from 1 species